rnacentral:rRNA from 1 species
UACGGAGGAUGCGAGCGUUAUCCGGAUUUAUUGGGUUUAAAGGGUGCGUAGGCGGACGCUUAAGUCAGCGGUAAAAUUGCGGGGCUCAACCUCGUCGAGCCGUUGAAACUGGGUGCCUUGAGUGGGCGAGAAGUACGCGGAAUGCGUGGUGUAGCGGUGAAAUGCAUAGAUACCACGCAGAACUCCGAUUGCGAAGGCAGCGUACCGGCGCCCAACUGACGCUGAAGCACGAAGGCGUGGGUAUCGAACAGG